rnacentral:rRNA from 1 species
GACGAACGCUGGCGGCGGGCUUAACACAUGCAAGUCGAACGGAAAGGCCCUGCUUUUGUGGGGUGCUCGAGUGGCGAACGGGUGAGUAACACGUGAGUAACCUGCCCUGGACUUUGGGAUAACUUCAGGAAACUGGGGCUAAUACCUGAUAGGAGCUCCUGCUGCAUGGUGGGGGUUGGAAAGUUUAGGCGGUUGGGGAUGGAUUCGCGGCUUAUCAGCUUGUUGGUGGGGUAGUGGCUUACCAAGGCUUUGACGGGUAGCCGGCCUGGGAGGGUAACCGGCGACAUUGGGACUGAGGUAGGGCCCAGACUGCUACGGGAGGCAGCAGUGGGGAAUAUUGCACAAUGGGCGGAAGCCUGAUGAAGCAACGCCGCGUGCGGGAUGAAGGCCUUCGGGUUGUAAACCGCUUUCGCCUGUGACGAAGCGUGAGUGACGGUAAUGGGUAAAGAAGCACCGGCUAACUACGUG